rnacentral:rRNA from 1 species
ACGAACGCUGGCGGCGUGCCUAAUACAUGCAAGUAGAACGCUGAAGGAGGAGCUUGCUCUUCUGGAUGAGUUGCGAACGGGUGAGUAACGCGUAGGUAACCUGCCUGGUAGCGGGGGAUAACUAUUGGAAACGAUAGCUAAUACCGCAUAACAGUAGAUGUUGCAUGACAUUUGCUUAAAAGGUGCAAUUGCAUCACUACCAGAUGGACCUGCGUUGUAUUAGCUAGUUGGUGGGGUAACGGCUCACCAAGGCGACGAUACAUAGCCGACCUGAGAGGGUGAUCGGCCACACUGGGACUGAGACACGGCCCAGACUCCUACGGGAGGCAGCAGUAGGGAAUCUUCGGCAAUGGACGGAAGUCUGACCGAGCAACGCCGCGUGAGUGAAGAAGGUUUUCGGAUCGUAAAGCUCUGUUGUAAGAGAAGAACGAGUGUGAGAGUGGAAAGUUCACACUGUGACGGUAUCUUACCAGAAAGGGACGGCUAACUACGUG